rnacentral:rRNA from 1 species
GACGAACGCUGGCGGCGUGCCUAAUACAUGCAAGUAGAACGCUGAAGGAGGAGCUUGCUUCUCUGGAUGAGUUGCGAACGGGUGAGUAACGCGUAGGUAACCUGCCUGGUAGCGGGGGAUAACUAUUGGAAACGAUAGCUAAUACCGCAUAAGAGUAGAUGUUGCAUGACAUUUGCUUAAAAGGUGCAAUUGCAUCACUACCAGAUGGACCUGCGUUGUAUUAGCUAGUUGGUGGGGUAACGGCUUACCAAGGCGACGAUACAUAGCCGACCUGAGAGGGUGAUCGGCCACACUGGGACUGAGACACGGCCCAGAAUCCUACGGGAGGCAGCAGUAGGGAAUCUUCGGCAAUGGACGGAAGUCUGACCGAGCAACGCCGCGUGAGUGAAGGAGGUUUUCGGAUCGUAAAGCUCUGUUGUAAGAGAAGAACGAGUGUGAGAGUGGAAAGUUCACACUGUGACGGUAUCUUACCAGAAAGGGACGGCUAACUACGUG